rnacentral:rRNA from 1 species
CCUACGGGUGGCUGCAGUGAGGAAUAUUGGUCAAUGGGCGCGAGCCUGAACCAGCCAAGUAGCGUGAAGGAUGACUGCCCUACGGGUUGUAAACUUCUUUUAUAAAGGAAUAAAGUUAGGCAUGCGUGCCUUAUUGUCUGUACCUUAUUAAUAACCAUCGGCUAACUCCGUGCCAGCAGCUGCGGUAAUACGGAGGGUUCGAGCGUUAUCCGGAUUUAUUGGGGUUAAAGGGAGCGUAGAUGGGAUGGUAAGUCAGUUGUGAAAGUUUGCGGCUCAACCGUAAAAUUGCAAUUGAUACUGGCAGUCUUGAGUACAGGUGAGGUAGGCGGAAUUCGUGGUGUAGCGGUGAAAUGCGUAGAUAUCACGAGGAACUCCGGUUGCGAAGGCAGCUUACUAAACUGCCACUGACAUUGAUGCUCGAAAGUGUGGGUAUCAAACAGGAUUAGAUACCCGGGUAGUC